rnacentral:misc_RNA from 1 species
CGCACAUUGCGCCCUUUAGUAUUCUAGAGGGCAUGCCUGUUCGAGCGUCAUUAUCACCUCUCAAGCCUGGCUUGCUGUUGGACCGCACGCCGGUAAAAGGCGGGUCCCAAAGAUAAUGGCGGUGUCAAUUAGACCCUCGGUGCAACGAGCUUUCAUUAGCACGCAUCUGUAGUGGACUUUUGAUCCAGCCUGUUAUACCCCAUUUUUCAAGGUUGACCUCGGAUCAGGUAGGAAUACCCGCUGAACUUAA